rnacentral:lncRNA from 1 species
UUUUUUUGCAAGAGGUAAGUAAAAGAUUCAAUUUGAUUCUUCUAGAGGGGGGAAAAAGGAGUUGAAAGUAGGUCUUCAUUUUGCAGUCAUCAUCUGUACUAAUUCUUCAUAGUUGACUUGUCCAUCUCCAUCAACAUCUGCUUCUCUGAUCAUUUCAUCUACUUCUUCAUCUGUUAGUUUUUCUCCUAAGUUUGUCAUGACGUGACGUAGUUCUGCUGCACUAAUGUAAUCAUUGCCAUCCUUGUCAAAGACUCGGAAUGACUCAUGGAUUUCUUCUUCACUAUCUGUAUCUUUCAUUUUUCUAGCCAUCAUAGUCAAAAAUUCGGGGAAGUCAAUGGUGCCAUUACCAGCAAUCUGUUCUUCGGUCAGGUGAUCAGCCAUGGUGUGAGCGAAGGGAGCAAGAGCAGACGGAGCGAUGGUGGCUGCACCAGCGCGGGGGCUGUGACGGCCAGGGUGCCUCCGACGGUGCUGCCGCCGCUGCUAAGGCGCACUGUGCUCUGUGCCGCCGCGUUCACGAGACUUGCAACAGCACUGCACUCACGUAUAGUUUCAUAGUACAGCCAGCAACCAACUCAUCCCAAUAAAAGAAAUUGUAAUAAAGAGCAACUUGCAUGGAGUAGGAAAAGAACUGGAUAUUUUGGUGAAUAAAAUGAAACUAUGAUGUAAUUGUUCAAAAACACUGCUCCCAAUGGCAUACUGAUGAGUUGUACUGUAAUAUUUAAAAGAACAAAAGUAACAUGGCCGGGUUAAGGGAAAACACAUUGACUAGCAAAGGUCAUUUGCUUUAUGGACGCAAAUCGUUAGUGUGGAGGAGAAAGCCAGGUAAAGGAGAUGAAAUAAAUGAGAAAUCCAACUCAGCAGGAGCCCAGCCAAAAGGAAGACGGCCCCUGUUCCUCUCAUGUCAAAGGUGGGAUUGAGAAAUGAAAGUCCCACUUCUCUAUCUUCUAGCCUACAUUAUGCUGAUUGGAAAAAGCACAGUCUGAAAGGAAAUAGAAUUCGCUUUUUUUUAGAAGGAGGCCUGGAAUAUAAAAGAAGCUUAGCCCUGAUGAUAUGACAGUGCUUCCUUCUUCGGUUUAUUCACCUCAUUUCCUCAAUAUGAAUUUGUUGAAAGUAUAGCGUUCCCUCUGUAGCCACACUGUCUGGAUUCAUAUCCUCCCUUCAUCACUAAUGCCAUUACUAACUGGGAAAGUUACUCAAUAAUGUGAAUGCCUCAAAUUUUCUUAUCUGUAAAAUGGAGAUAAUAAUACAUAUGCUCCUUGACUUACCAGGGGGUUAUGUCCCAAUAAACCCAUUGUAAGCUGAAAAUAUAUUAAGUCAAAAUUGGAUUUAAUAACCUGGCUUUAUUGAACAGCAUAGGUUAGCCUGGCCUACCUUAAAUGUCCUCAGAGCACUUAUGUUAGCCUGAAGUUGGGCAAAAGCUUCUAACACAAAGCCUAAUUUUUAAUAAAGUGUUAAAAAAUCUCAUAUAAGAAUUUAUUGAAUAUUAUACUGAAGGUAAAAAUCAGAAAGGUUGUAUAGAUACACCUCAAAGUAUGGUUUCCAUAUGGAUAUGGCUUUCCCAUUAUCAUAAAGUAAAAAAAAAUCAUUGUGGAAUCAUUGUAAGUAUUCCAUGGAAUAAGUGCAGAUAAUCCCCUCUGUACAAUGAUUAAUACAUUUAAAAAGCUUAGAAUGAUAGUUGCAUUGCAGGUAUGACAUUGGUGUCAACUGGUUCGUUUUUGUUUUUGAGCACAUCUUUAACCUGGUAGAAUUUGGAGCCCAGUGAAGCAGGGGGACAAGAUAGUACACAAUGGAAAUAUAUAUAAUCACUAAUUUGCCAUCAUAGCCAUAAUAAUCAAUAAUUAAUAGAGUAUGCUAUAAAAUAAUGAAUGGCCUGUGGAAAAAGUAAAAUUUAAAAGAAGAACCAUCUUAGGGACUGAGAAUGCUUGUAAAGAAGUGGAUUUUGCAAAGUAGAUAAGUUUAAUUCUCACAACAGGCCCAUAAGGAAAUUAUUGCUACUCUCCAAAGCACAAAGAGGUUCAGCAGCUUUCUCAAGAUCACACAGCUAGUAUGCAAGUCUAAAUCUGGUGACCAUCACGAUAGUUACCUGAAGGGUCUUGGUUGGUGAAACAGAGAUGUUGCCAUGAGGAGAACAUACUGGAAUGAAUCAUGCAUAUCAGGAGAAAAAGUGUUUUAGGCAGAGGUGACAGUAAGAAGGCAACAAGGAGUAUGAUCCUGACAUGUUAGAGGAAGAGCAAAAACUCUGUUAUGACAGAAGUUGUUAAGGAAGGGGACGUAUUUGAGUCAGAGAGAUAAUAGGAAGAUGCAAUUCAUGGAGACUAUUUGCAGUGGACUGAAUGUCUGUGUCCUCUCAAAGUGUGUUUCUGAAAUUCUAACCCCCUUCCCCCACAAUAUAAUGGUAUUAGGAGGUAGGGCUUCUGAGAAGUGAUUAGGUCAUGGGGAUGGAAUCCUUAAGAAUAAGAUUAGUGCCCUUAUAGAGAGGAGAGAGCUUGCUUCCUCUGUGCUCUCCACCAUGUGAGGAUACAAGGAGAAGACAGCCAUCUGCAACCAGGAGGAGUCCUUUCUCCAGCACUUGACCAUGUUGGCACCUUGAUUUCAGACCUCCAGCCUCCAAAGCACUGUGCUAAUGUGUUGUGCAAGCCUGGCAGUCUGUGGUAGUUUGUGAUAGCAACCCUAUACCAUUGUAAGAAUUUGGCUUCUGCUUAGCAGUAAGAUGGGAAGUCAUUGAAAGAUUCUCUGUAUUAUUGUACAUGAUUGUCAUGGGAAAAUAUUCAAAUAUAUAAGUGAAAAAACAAGGCACCCAAUUAUACAGACAAUUUAAUUCUAGAAAACAACUUCUGAAGAGAAAUACAAAAACAUGUAAUAGUAACAAAUAUCUUGUAUUUGAAACAUGACUGGCUUUUAUUUUCUCUUUGCACUUUUUGGCAUGUUUCAAAUAAUAUAAAAUGAAUUAUAUUUAUAGCUAGAGAAAUAUAUUAUUUUCUAAAAUAUAGGUGGUAGCUAAGCAACUGGAAGUAAAACGUAAUUAUCUGAUAAUAUGAUUAUAAAACACCCACCUUAGGCAUUGUGUAUAUAUUACUAAUAGUUGAUAAAGAAAUCUUCUCACUAAGUCUGGACAAUCUGGUUAUUAGAAAUGAAUUUUCUUUACUCAAUUGGGAAACAAACACCUUACCUAUAUAAUCUGGAAAAAUAGAUUUAUGCAGACUUGACUUCAGAACAGAUAUAAUUUGUUCUCUCUAUUAUCAGAGGUUUUAGUGUCUUUUCAUAAACUGGGGAUUAAACUUGUUCACUUAAAAUUUAGUAGUGUUUUAAAAUAGUCUCUUAAAUUUUAUGUGAAGUUUGGAAGAUUAUAAAUUUAGUAGUAAUUGAUAAAAUGUUAUGUUCUGUUGGAAAAUAUUAUAUUCUUUUAUAUCUUUGAAAUGUUAAUUUCAUGUUGAGAUUUGAAUAAACUAUAAUUAUGUCAC